rnacentral:rRNA from 1 species
AGCAGUGAGGAAGGUGGGUAUGUUAAUAGCAUACUCAUUUGACGUUAGCUGCAGAAGAAGCACCGGCUAACUCCGUGCCAGCAGCCGCGGUAAUACGGAGGGUGCGAGCGUUAAUCGGAAUUACUGGGCGUAAAGCGCAUGCAGGUGGUUUGUUAAGUCAGAUGUGAAAGCCCGGGGCUCCAACCUCGGAAUUGCAUUUGAAACUGGCAAACUAGAGUACUGUAGAGGGGGUAGAAUUUCAGGUGUAGCGGUGAAAUGCGUAGAGAUCUGAAGGAAUACCGGUGGCGAAGGCGGCCCCCUGGACAGAUACUGACACUCAGAUGCGAAAGCGUGGGGAGCAAACAGGAUUAGAUACCCUGGUAG